UACGUAGGGUGCAAGCGUUAAUCGGAAUUACUGGGCGUAAAGCGUGCGCAGGUGGUCUUGUAAGACAGGUGUGAAAUCCCCGGGCUUAACCUGGGAACUGCAUUUGUGACUGCAAGGCUAGAGUGUGUCAGAGGGAGGUGGAAUUCCGCGUGUAGCAGUGAAAUGCGUAGAGAUGCGGAGGAACACCGGUGGCGAAGGCGGCCUCCUGGGACAUUACUGACACUCAUGCACGAAAGCGUGGGGAGCAAACAGG
rnacentral:rRNA from 1 species